UGCAGGAGUUUGACACUAAUGAUAAAAGUAUCAUUGCAUUAGUGUGGAGAGAGCAUCUGAGCGGAUGCAGAUGUAUCAUACCAAAAUGAUUAAAUGGUACCACUUAGAGCAGAAGUAGUUUAUAUUGGGGGUGAUACCCAAGUAGAACCAAUAUACUACACUUUCCAUUUGAUACCUUUUCUACAGGCAGGCAGCUUCUGCUCUAAUUGUUAAUGCUUUACCCGUAGCUGAAGCCUGCAGUACUCAGCUGUGAAAGCACCUGGGAUACUGACAGCCAGAGCACAGGGCUAAGCCCACUUGACUAGUCUUGAUGUGGUGCAUUUCUGUUUCUGAAAGGUUGCCUUGAUAUUUUCGUGGCUCUGGUGUUUUCAUGUUUUUUUUUUUUUUUUGUGAUGCUUUCCUUUAAAUCAUGGAGGUAAAUUAACUGUUGUUCCAGUUAAACAUGCAUUUUUGCUUGGGGCCAGACAGCUUGUGCUUGCACAAAGGAGACAUGCUAGGUGGGUGAGAAUUUCUUGGAAUAAGUAGUCAGUCUGGAUUUUUGUUGCAAAAGCUUAAGUUUCUGUUAAUUGAGUGUUCAUUUCAGAAUGAAUUAUGUAGAACUCUAAGCUUCCUGACUUACUUGAUUUCCAUCCCUUAUUACUGCCAUACCCUGUUUUCUCUGUCAUUUACUAAUUCAAAGCAAGACCCCCUUAAUAGUUGGAAAGCCUCCUGCAACAUCAGAAAAAAAAAAAAAAAAAGGCGUGGAACAAGAUUUAGGUGAGUUAAUUUUGAAGUAUUUGUUGUAUAGAGAAUACAGAAGAACAUGUUCAGGCUUGAAUUAGGUAUGUGCUUUAUCUCCCAGAGAACAGUUCAGAAUAUUUUAUGGAGUUUUCCAGAAGUUCUUUCAAAUUAGGUGUCUCUACAGUACUUUACUGAAUUUUGAAAAUUGCUCUGCAGAUCAGUGAAUUUUCCUUUUUUCCUUUUGUACUUAAUCCCUCCAGUCUUUUGUGAUAGCCCAGCCCUGCUUGCUGUGUUGGGAGAGACGCUAUCAAAAUCCCCUUAAAUGCCAGAGCCGUUGGAUAAAGGCAUAAAGAGACAGCAACUUGCAGAGAUGCCCUAUUGCUGCUGUUUAACAGCAAGAAGUACUGAAUGGUAACCAGAUGACUGUGGUCAGAUACACCGAGUUAAUUCUAUAGAGUAGGACUUUCAAAAGUACCAGACUGUACAUCAUACUUCGGUAAGUAGCACCCUUAAAUAAGAAUUCACCUGUGUUUGCCAUUGGCAGUAGUUCUUCUUUUUGAAAUCAUACAAGUCCACCUGCUUUCUUCUAUUAAUUGCCAGUCUCCUAGGUAGCGCUCUGUGAAGAGAAACCUCAAAAUGUUCAUGCUAUGUUGAAGAAGCAGGUAGAGAAACUUUAAUGACCCCUUGCUUGUCUGUUUUAGAUGCCUCCACAAGCAUCUAGGGAGGGCUUGUCUCUUUCCUCUGCUGCUAGAGGGAACUUGGUAAGAGUGGCCAAGAAUGUCAGCCAACUCUGUAUUUUCUGUUGCCAGAUUUGCUUUGCUAAAUUAGUAUCCCAUGUAUUGCAUUGGAACAGGUAACGUAGAAUAUGUUGACUUAGAACUAGGGGACUUUCUGCCUGUUUGUCCUAAUGGAUGGAUCUGACUUUUACACUAAUGACCUUCUGGUCUGUUUAUUAAAUAUGGCCCAUGACUUUUUACUAAAUUAAUUCAAUCACAUUGUUCUUUUACAGUUCUAUUAAAGCAAGAAAUUCGGUGCACCCUCAGUAGAGAGGUUAUUUCUGGUGUCAGGGAAAUCAAUGCAAGGUGCCUGUUAGCAGAUUAAUUUUUGUUUAUACUUGAGGUUUUCUUUGUUCCUGUAUUAGUUUAAGGUUUUGGCUCUAAUGAGCAUAUAGGAAUGCGAGUAAUAGAAAAAUAAUACUGAGUCUCUUUUGGACACUUGAAGUGCUUCAUUAGGUAUAAAUUGAGUAGAAGAACGUGUGGAAAGUUUUUUCAGGUGUCAUCACCUGGGAUAUAUAAUCUUUUCAUGUUCUUGGUAUCCAGUAGUCUGGAAACUAAUGUGGUUGUCUUGGAAACAGGCUUUAUUUUCCUUUUGCAGAUAUCUAGAUGUGAAAUCAUUGUCUUCCUUGAAAAUCUGGAUUUAAUACUUCUGAAAGAAAUAACUGCAAAUUUUAGAUGCUUGUCCUCUAUUUAAAUAAUUGAUAUGGGAGCCUGUAAGUGGUGUUUGCAUUGUCUGCUUUUAUUACAGUUGUAUGAUUAUGUUGCUAAAACAAUGUUUCUUUAGUUUUUUUUAAGGUAAAAUGCCUGUACUUAUUGUUGAUACUUGUCUGGGAGUUACAUACAGUGAAGCACUUUGCCGAUUUCCUAGCUUAAUAUUUAAAUAGAAAUAUAGCAGUAUAACUGCAUUGAGGAAUUUAAGUUCCUAAAAAUGAACUGAUACUAGCACUUCCAGUCUUUGCCUUUGCCCUGCUUUAAAUAAAACAGCAUGUGAUAAAACCUUGACUAUUCUGUGGGAUUGUAGCAUAAUAUUUGCCAGCCAAAACAUCAGCAGUAGACCAAAGUGCACAGGGCAGCUUUUUGUUAGCUAAGGAGCUGCCAUGCACAGCAUAAAAAGUCAAAGCAAAAUAGAAACUGAGUCAAGAAAUAAUGAUCUUUCAAACUGCUGAGGAGUUAUUAGGAUUUGUAUGAAAAUAUGAAAUGAUGUUUUUGCAAGAAGUUUUAACUUUUCUAGUCUGUAGCUUAUUUGUCCAGUCACAGCAGUCUUAGAGUUUGGUAUUAGUGUAAUUUCAUUAUAAUUUUUACAGGUGAAGGCCCAAGCUGAAUAAUUUUCCGUAUUUUGUUUUCAAAUUGUUAACUAUGUUAAGGUCUAAUGUUUUUUUUUUAAUGUAUUUUUCUUCCAAGU